GCCUCUGUAGCUCAGUUGGUUAGAGCGCUGGACCGGAAUCGCAGGGCCGUAGGUUCAAUUCCUACCAGAGGAC
rnacentral:tRNA from 1 species